UACGUAGGGGGCGAGCGUUACCCGGAUUUACUGGGCGUAAAGGGGGCGUAGGCGGUGCGGUAAGUCAGGGGUUAAAGGCUGCAGCUCAACUGCAGUAAGGCCUUUGAUACUAUCGUGCUAGAGUGUCAGAGAGGAUGGCGGAAUUCCCGGUGUAGCGGUGAAAUGCGUAGAGAUCAGGAGGAAUACCAGUGGCGAAGGCGCCCUUCUGGACGGUUACUGACGCUGAGACGCGAAAGCGUGGGGAGCAAACAGG
rnacentral:rRNA from 1 species